GUCUACGGCCAUACCACCCUGAACGCGCCCGAUCUCAUCUGAUCUCGGAAGCUAAGCAGGGUCGGGCCUGGUUAGUACUUGGAUGGGAGACCCCUCUUUUUUUUAAAGCAGCCUGUUGGAGGUC
rnacentral:rRNA from 1 species